rnacentral:lncRNA from 14 species
GGCAGCAUCUUCCCCAUCCUCAGGGACCCAUCAUGAGCCCCAGCUCUCCUGCAGCAGCACAGAAUGAUGCUGACCCCCAGGGCACCAUCCCACAAGGGGUCCUGCAUCCCAGCUUCAGGGUAAUGUUGGCCAAUGUGGGCAGAGCCCAGCGCAGGCAGCAGAGGGGCAGCGGGGGCCCCUGCACCCCACACUGCCAUCCCAACCCGGGGAGCUGCAGGAGCCUGUGCCGGCUGCCAGAGGACCUGUUAGGACAAGACCUGCUUCUUCCAGACAAACCUGCUGGAGGCACAUCCAGAGCUUCCAGGGGAGCAGCUCCCAGCUCCUCCCUCCAAACUGCAACCCCAACACGGCCACGGCCCCCAGGAGCCAGCACCGGGCACACGCAGCUACCGGCAGAGAGCCGGGCACGUGCCCCCCGCAUGGCCCCACAUGGCAGAGCUGGGAUCCACACUGGGACCCCAGGAACAGCCCUUGAGCCCCACAGCCACAGCAGCCUCCGCAGCUGGGCAGAGCUGAGCCAGAACCGGUCUGUGCAGGCAGGACCGGGCAGCGCGGCGUGGCACGGCAUGGCACGGCGCCGAGCGGGGCCAUCCCAUCCAGCUCAGCGGGUCCCACAUCUGGUGCCACCACAGCCGUGGCUGCCGGUCACGGGAGCAUGUGGCAGGGCCACGUCCCUGCUGGUGAACCACAGCGCAUGGAGCCAGGGAGUGCUCCCAGCUGCCCGCAUCCCGCUGCCAGCGCGGCCCAAACCACGGCACCCUCCCAGGCUGCCCCACAGCCGGAUUUAGCCACCUUCUGGCAGCGCGGCUGCCACAGGCACACAUGGGCGGUCCCCACUGUGCCACAGACCCAGAGCUGGGCCAUGGAACUGGGCCCAGCAGCUGCUGGUGCCGACCCCAAGCUGCCCAUGGACGUGUCCUGCUGCUCACCCACCCUACACCAGCCCCAGGAGCUCUGCAGAGAGGGGUCUGUCUGCAGGAUGAUACUCCUGGCACGGAGCUCUGCCUGCCCCAACAGCCC